UAAGCCCUGCUUCUCUUUCCAGGCAGAGACAUAAUGAAAUUCUGACAGCAGCAGUUGGCUCUGAACCUUCAUCUUAAACAUCAUUCCUGUUUAUUCACAUCACCUCCCAGCUCUGAGCCCCAAGCCCAAUCCAGAGCAUUAUCUGGUGGGGGCUCCAGCUUGGCCCUUCCUUUGCACACACCGAACCUGCCUCGUGCAGGCCCUCUUCUGGCCUCUGGCCCAGGCAGAGGAGCUGAGGCCUCCUCCCAAGCCUGGGGUUGCUGGGCAGAGUGGGCACGCUGACUCAGAGUUGGCACACGCAGCCAGGUUCUGCCAGAAAAGAGGGCUGGGCCACAUGCCACUCAGAGAAACAAGGCUGCUGCUCUGCCCUGUGGGGCAGCUGUUCCCUGGGACUCUCCCCCCCACCCCCAGUCUGCCCUCCAUCUCCCUCACAGGCUGGAGACACUCUGCUUACUUCUGCUGUGCGUAAGCCUGGGUGGCAUAUGGGACUGUGCAUCUCUGUGUGGAUGGGCUAGAGGCCUAGCAAGAGGAUUUUUCCCAAACCUCAUUUGCUGGAUUCUGCUCCCUCUGCCCUUUAACCACCAAGGCCCUCUGUGGGCCCAGGCCUGGCUAGGUGCCUAAAUUACCCCCCUAAAAUCCAGCUCUCAGUUGCCUCUGCAAGAUGCCCUGAGAUCCUGGUGACUCACGGAGCUUUCAGCAGCACAGAGAGGCCAUGUGUGCCCAGAGACUAGUUGUCCGAUGGAGUUUCAGGCAUCCCACCACCCCCAGCUGACCAUCGUGUCUUCGAUGUGUAUGUGAGGGUGGGUAUGAGGGCUUCUGGGAUGAUGGAUGAAACCUAGUGUCAGAGCUGGUACCCCCCCAAGUCCUGCUUCUUGGCCCCUCCGCCACUACCUUCUCUAAGAGGCCUAGAGAAGGGGGAGGAUCAACCCAAGAAUGCCAACUUUCCAGAUUUGCUUCAGAGCUGACCCUGCCCAGCCCUUCCCCCAGAAACACAAACCUAGACCAGCUUGGGUAGGUGAGGUGGAUGAUGUUUAUUCUGCCUCCUCCUAGUUUUUCGAGCACAGCCGAUUGGAGGGCUGUUUAAAUCUUGGUUCUGCAGUUUCCCACUGUGAGACUGAGCAGAUCCCUUCACCUCUGGGAGCUCUGCAUCAGGAGCUGCAAUCCUCCUGGGAAUUGGCUGAAAUAACAGACGACAUUGGCUACCUGGUAAGAAUAAAUGCUGCCGGCCAAGCAUGGUGCUGGAACACCCUCCACCCAUGGUGGGCACAGGGCCCGGCCUGAAGCCCUUGGACCCUGAUGCUUGUGAGGGCUGGAAAACCUCCUCUGAGCUCCCUCCUGUGGGUCCUGCACCCACAUACAUCCAGAGGAAAAGUAAAGGCUGCCUCUCCCAUGGAAGCAGCUAUGGCAAAGUGACUGUGCUCUGAUCACACCAGGCAGCUGCUACUGACCGCAUAGAGAUCCAGGCUGCUGUGAUGGAUCACAGGCUUCCUGGGCUGGGUGGUAAUGCCAGGACUCUAUGGGCUGAUUGCCAGUUACUUUUCCAUAAUUAUAUUUGUGGGAUUUAUUGCAAAUUCAUUUGUGAAUGUGAUGUGAUAGGCUUUUUAAAAAUUUUUGUUAUAAUUGAUUUACAAUGUUCUGUCAAUUCCUGCUGUACAGCAAAAGUGACCCAGUCAUGCACAUAUAUACCUUCUUUAUCUCACAUUAUCUUCUAUCAUUUUCCAUCACAAGUAAUUAGCUAUACAGUUCUCUGUGCUAUACAGCAGGAUCUCAUUGCCCAUCCACUCCAAAUGCAACAGUUUUCUCUACUAACCCCAGACUCCCAAUCCAUCCCACUCCCUCCCCUUCCCCCAAGGCAAACAUAAGUCCUCCUACAUGUCCAUGGUCUUUUCUGGUUUUUGUUUUGUUUUGUUUUGUUUUUUGCUUUUUAGGGCUGCACUUGUGGCACAUGCAUAUGGAAGUUCCCAGGCUAGGAGUUGAAUUGGAGCUACAGCUGCCGGCCUAUGCCACAGCCGCAGCAAUGCCAGAUCCAAGCCAAAUCUGCAACUAUACCACAGCUCAGGUAAAACGCUGGGUCCUUAACCCACUGAGAGAGGCUAGGGUUCAAACCUGCAUCCUCAUGGAUCCUCACUGGGUUCAUUAACCACUGAGCCAUGACGGGAACUCCGAUAUUUUCUGUUUUGUAGACAGAUCAUUUGUGCCAUAUUUUAGGCUCCACAUGUAAAUGAUAUCAUGUGGUGUCUUUCUCUUCUAACUUCACUCAGUAUGAGUGUCCCUAGUUGUAUCCAUGUUGCUGCAAAUGGCAUUAUUUUGUCCUUUUUUAUGGCUGAGUAGUAUUCUGUGGUGUAUAUGUACCACAUCUUCCUACUUUGUUCAUCUGUCGAUGGGCAUUUAGGUUGUUUCCAUGUGUUGGCUAUUGUGAACAGUGCUGCGAUGAACAUACGGGUGCAUGUAUCUUUUUCGAUGAAAGUUUUGUCCAGAUAUAUGCCCAGUAGUGGGCAUAUGGUAGUUCUAUAUUUAGUUUUCUGAGGUAUUUCUAUACUGUUUUCCAUAAUGGUUGUACCAACUUACAUUUCCACCAACAGUGCAGGAGGGUUCCCUUUUCUUCACACCCUCUCCAGCAUCUUUUAUUUGUAAACUUACUAAUGAUGGCCAUUCUAACCAGUGUGAAGUGGUACCUCAUUACAGUUUUGAUUUGCAUUUCUCUAAUAAUUAGUGAUGUUGAGCAUUGUUUCAUGUGCCUGCUGGCCAUCUAUAUGUCUUCUUUAGAGAAAUGAUUAUUUAGGUCUUCCGCCCAUUUUUCAUUUGGGUUGUUUGUUUUUUUGUUGUUGAGUUGUUUGAGUUGUUUGUAUAUUGUGGAGAUUAGACCUUGGUUGAGUCAUUUGCAAAAAUUUUCUCCCAUUCUGUGGGUUGUCUUUUUGGUUUAUUUUAAUGGUUUCCUUUGUUGUGUGAUAUGAUGUUCAUUUCACUGUGGACUAAGUCCCAGUCCUCACCCCUCAGGCAGAAUCUAGUGCUCAGUGUGGGGAAUAGUCAGAGGGAGGAGACGUGGCCCAGCCCACCUGAGGGGGAAGGCAUGCUGAAGGAGUCUGUGAACUAAAGAAAACAUUGAAGGGCUAUUUUAUUCAACAAACAUUUAUUAAGCACUCGCUGUGUGCCAGGCACUGUUUUUGAGGUUUGGGAAUCCUCAGUGAAGAAAAUAUACUCCAAACUCCUACCCUUGUGGAGUUAAAUUCUAAUGGAAACAAAGGAGACAUGAUAAUAAACAUAAGACGAAUUGUAUAGCACAUUAUAUGUAAGAAAAAUUUAAAAAUAAGGGAAUUCAGGAAUGAGAGAGAGUUAUAGUUUAAAUAGGUUGGGCAGGCUGGACCUUACAGGGACAGUGACAUUUGAGCAAAGACUUCUAGGAUGUGAGAGAGUGGGGAAUUCAGAGGUUCUAAGGGAAGAGGAUUCCAGGCAGAAGAGACAGGCAGUGCCAAGGCCCUGAGGCAGGAGUGCAUCUAGUGUGUUGGGGAACCAGCAGGGAGGCCAGUGUGGCUGCAACAGAGGGAUAGAGGGAGAGGGGAAUGAGAGAAGCCAGAGAGGUAAUGGGACCUAAUCCUGCUGGGCCUUCUUUGGUGUCCACCUUUACCUAGGGAUAAAUGGGAAGCACUUGGAAGGUUUUAAGUCAAGGAGGGACAUGAUCUAAUUCACGUUUUAAAAGAAACACUCUGGGGAGUUCCCUUUGUGGUUCAGUGGAAACGAAUCUGACCAGUAUCCAUGAGGAUGCAGGUUCAAUCCCUGGCCUCUCUCAGUGGGUUAAGGAUCCCUCAUUGCCAUGAGCUGUGACAUAGGCUGGCAGCUGCAGCUCCAAUUAGACCCCUAACCUGGGAACCUCCAUAUGCAGUGGGUGUGGC
rnacentral:lncRNA from 1 species